AUUGAACGCUGGCGGCAGGCUUAACACAUGCAAGUCGAGCGGGGGAAGGUAGCUUGCUACUGGACCUAGCGGCGGACGGGUGAGUAAUGCUUAGGAAUCUGCCUAUUAGUGGGGGACAACAUCUCGAAAGGGAUGCUAAUACCGCAUACGUCCUACGGGAGGAAGCAGGGGAUCUUCGGACCUUGCGCUAAUAGAUGAGCCUAAGUCGGAUUAGCUAGUUGGUGGGGUAAAGGCCUACCAAGGCGACGAUCUGUAGCGGGUCUGAGAGGAUGAUCCGCCACACUGGGACUGAGACACGGCCCAGACUCCUACGGGAGGCAGCAGUGGGGAAUAUUGGACAAUGGGGGGAACCCUGAUCCAGCCAUGCCGCGUGUGUGAAGAAGGCCUUAUGGUUGUAAAGCACUUUAAGCGAGGAGGAGGCUACUUUAGUUAAUACCUAGAGAUAGUGGACGUUACUCGCAGAAUAAGCACCGGCUAACUCUGUGCCAGCAGCCGCGGUAAUACAGAGGGUGCGAGCGUUAAUCGGAUUUACUGGGCGUAAAGCGUGC
rnacentral:rRNA from 1 species